rnacentral:lncRNA from 1 species
AAAAAAAAAGAGUUAGAAGAGGAAAGAGGACACUGAAAAGGGAAUAAAAGGCGUGCGAAAUAUGAUCUCUUAUCUUCCUUUCGCAUAUAAAAAAGGAGUAACAAAUAGGGAGAAGGUAGUAGCUAACAGAAGGAAAUAAAAAAAAAAAAGAAAAAAAUAAAGAAGCUUACAGAGACAAAGAGAAAGAUUGAAGGGAGCUAGAGAGAGAAAGCAUAUUUCAAAUAUGCAAAACUUGCAAAAGUGAAACAAGAACUAGUUGUCGGAUUGGUGGAGAAUCCUGAGCGCGAGUAGAAGGUGGAGCUUGACAGAGGGUAGAUCCCGACGGUGAGUUUGGAGAAACCUAGAGUGCCCCUGAUUGGAGAGCAGAAGGACGAGCAAAACAGUGGGUCUGAAAGGGAAAGAAAAUGAUCAAAUAUUUUAGAUAGAAUUUUAAGAAUUUUUGGAACUUGAAUGCUUGAAUUUUUUUUAUAAAUUUAUUCUCUAUUAUUACAUGAUUAUUUUUCUCUCAUAUAUUAUUAUUAUUGCUCAAUCCACCAUGUGUGGUUAAACUUUCUUCACUAGAGUAAUUGAUGUAGCCUGAAUCAAAAGUAAAUUUGUGAUUUAAUUUUUAGCUUUCUUUUGAUUGCAAUUUAGCUAUUGAACUUAAUUGGCUAGCUCAAAGUUUUAUUUGUAAUUGAUAGUUUUAGAGUAACGUGAGUGACAUUCCAUUAAUUAGACAUAUGUUGUUAAGUUUAAUAGAGACUUGAACGGGACUAAUAUAGUCGAAUUAACAUGGAUUAAUCGUAUUAUCAC